rnacentral:rRNA from 1 species
AAUCAACGCUGGCGGCGUGCCUCAGACAUGCAAGUCGAACGAUUAAACUUUCCUUCGGGAAAGAUAUAAAGUGGCGCACGGGUGAGUAACACGUAGGUAAUGUACCUUUGGGUGGGGAAUAACUUAGGGAAACUUAAGCUAAUACCGCAUAAUGCAGCGGCUCCUUCGGGAGACAGUUGUUAAGGAUUUAUCGCCUAAAGAGCAGCCUGCGGCAGAUUAGCUAGUUGGUAAGGUAACGGCUUACCAAGGCUACGAUCUGUAUCCGACCUGAGAGGGUGGUCGGACACACUGACACUGAAUAACGGGUCAGACUCCUACGGGAGGCAGCAGUCGGGAAUUUUGGGUCGAAUGGGCGGAAAGACCUGACCCACGCAACGCCGCGUGAAGGAUGAAGUCUUUCGGGAUGUAAACUUACGUAAGAAUAAGGAAGAAAUAAAUAGACGGUAC